ensembl:lncRNA
CAGAAGGUCCUGAAAUACUUUUUAAAAAAGGUCAGUUUUUUGUCUUGUUUUGAGAAGAGUUACCAGGUAUAUACAAGUAAUUGUAUAUAAAAUCUAAUAUCUGUCUUCAGUCCGUGCAUUUUCAUCACUGUUUUAUGAAAGAUAUCAUCUGAUUUUAACAUACUUAUGAACAAUUGUGUUGUGGGAAAAGAGGCCUUAUUACUCAUUGUUCAUUUCCAAGCAACCUGCAAACUUUUUUCAUCCUACCUACCAAUGUGACAUCAAAUAGGAAACACCUCCCCCUUGUCUUUCACUAACCAGGGAUAACUGGUCCUCGUGCUCUCAGCUGCUUAGCUUUUUCUCUGGUAUGGUCCUGGCCAUUCUCACUCACAUAAACCUCCUUAGGAAAACUCCAGACCAACAAAAAGUGGUGUGAAAAGAAAUUCCCAAGACAUUUUUUCCAUACAGUCUGAGUCAUCUCCUGAAGGUGGAUCUUUGCUGACAGGUGUUCAUCAGAAAUAUCUGAGCUACUCCAGCAAGAGGUACUAUGAAUCAAAUAUCUACAUCUAUGGCUUCAUUUAUUUUUGGUGCACACUGUAUUUUCUAGUGACCAAAGUGUUUUUUCCUCUGUCCCAUCAGAGUCCAUCAUGAGCUUUCAUUAUCAUUGUCAUACAUUGCAAGGAUCUGCAUCUGAAGCACCAGUCAGCAGCAGCUCCAAGGACACAUUCCAUCUAUGUGGAAUAAGAAACUGCUGUCAUGGAGAAAGUCCACCUGCCAGCCUCACUGUGGACUGUAGCAACUCUGAAUUUGUUCUGUUGCACAUCACGUGUGGAAGCACGGGAAAGAGCAGGACUGCUCCUCCCCAGAAGAAAAUCACUGCAGAAGAGAAACCACACUGCCAAUAGCAGGAGGAACCGUGUGUCUCAUAUAUGAGCAACAACUUGAGCUAAGAUGGCAUAGUGAAGUUGAUGUCCAUGGAACACGUCAUCUCUUUCUGCUUCUGCCUAAAUGUUCCCUGUUCAGCUCUCACCAUUUUGCUCCUCCUUUCACAGCUUCCACUCCACAGUAUUAUUAAUCUUCAAUAACUAAAAUGCAGCAAAGUCACAUGUGAUAAUGUCCAAAGAUAUUUGCUUUCUAAAGUGACCUGAGAUGCAUGCACCUAAGGAGAAAGAUGUUCUGAUGUAAUAACUGUUGCAGUGUUUGUUUAGGAGCUUCAUUUAAUUACUUUGUUGGAUCAGUGAAAACAAAUACAUUAUAAAAUAUUUACUGGUAAUUUUCAAAGAGUGCACAGCAGUGUUUAAGGGAAGUAAUAUUAUCUACAAGUAAGUCACAGUUAACAAAUACCUCUGCUACUGUUUCUAUGUAUCGUGUUAUGAGAAACCUUGUGUUUGUUCUGGCACUUCCCUUAUACUUUUCAUGGUAAAUGAAGCAUGUCAGGGAUUAUAAAACUUGUCAUACUGCAGUCACAAGAUUAGAGAAGAAGAAAUUAAUACACUGUUUUAAUUUUAAUUAAAAUUAAUACAAUAACACUGUUCCCUUAUACCUCUAUCACAGCAAAACUUGACAUAUAGUUAAAUUUAAGAACAAAAAUAAGGAAGAACAAAAAUAAUGAUACAGAUAAGUUAAUAUCUUUAAAAAUCUUUGAAAUGUGUUUCCCCCUGUAACAAAGAAACAGGUUUUGAUUUACUCACAUUGGUUUUUAUUUUUCCACAUAUUCAGCUUAAUUUUUCUUGUACACUGAUCCAUACCUGUGGCCUGAAUGACCCAUGCACAAAGGACAAUAGUAUUAAAAGAUAGAUUGUACCAUAUGAAGCCCAUUAUUGUAGGUAUAACCAAAAACAAAAAUCAUGGAUUUAUACCUCCCUCACCUCAUUCACAAAUGGGACCACUGAAAAAUUCAGUUUG